rnacentral:lncRNA from 1 species
UCCAUCUCUCGCUUUCUUUGCGAGGUUUGAGUUCCCUCAUGGCUGCUAACAAGUCUGCUGUUCUUAUGCUUAUUAUCCUUCUAGUGGCUCUCACUGCCGAGGGCAGACCGCUGAAGGAAGAUGAGAAGACCAGGACCAGAAUGUGCUACAGAUGCUUAACGCAAAUUGACGCUAGCGGUGAAGGGAAGGUAGAGGGCACCAUUGCACCCUCUGCGGAGAAGGGCAACAGCCCAGGGCUGUUGGUGGGCAGGGAAGAUGUUCGACCAACGAACCCAGGUCACAGUCCCGGUGUUGGCCACUCUAUCGGCAACAAGGGCGUGGACAAGAACGUGUGAACGAAACCUGAUUCGUUUGCGAUAUCUGUACAUAAGUUUUGUCAUUUCUAUUCUUCUUCUUCUUCUUCUUCUUCUUCUUCUUCUUCUUCUUCUUCUUCUUCUUCUUCUUCUUCUAGGUUUGCCUUUUCUUUAUCUGCAUUGUGUUGUUUCUUCAUCAUGGCUAUUUCAUUCUAUCUUUUCGUUGGUUGUUUGAAGAAAGAGCUUCAAUGAACUUCCCAGGUAUUAGUUCUCAUGCACUCUGUAAGCAUGCAUGGCAGCAGACUUGGGUGGUAUUUCUCACGUACGUAAAUCGAUGCUGAAUGCUUAAACUUGAUGAUGCUUAUUCCAAUCAGACAUAAC